GACGAACGCUGGCGGCGUGCUUAACACAUGCAAGUCGAACGCUGAAGCUUGGUGCUUGCACUGGGUGGAUGAGUGGCGAACGGGUGAGUAAUACGUGAGUAACCUGCCCUUGACUCUGGGAUAAGCCUGGGAAACUGGGUCUAAUACUGGAUAUGACAUGCCACUGCAUGGUGGUGUGUGGAAGGGGUUUUACUGGUUUUGGAUGGGCUCACGGCCUAUCAGCUUGUUGGUGGGGUAAUGGCCUACCAAGGCGACGACGGGUAGCCGGCCUGAGAGGGUGACCGGCCACACUGGGACUGAGACACGGCCCAGACUCCUACGGGAGGCAGCAGUGGGGAAUAUCGCACAAUGGGCGGAAGCCUGAUGCAGCGACGCCGCGUGAGGGAUGACGGCCUUCGGGUUGUAAACCUCUUUCAGCACGGAAGAAGCGAGAGUGACGGUACGUGCAGAAGAAGCGCCGGCUAACUACGUG
rnacentral:rRNA from 1 species